rnacentral:rRNA from 1 species
GAAUGCUGACAUAAGUAACGAUAAAGCGGGUGAAAAGCCCGCUCGCCGGAAGACCAAGGGUUCCUGUCCAACGUUAAUCGGGGCAGGGUGAGUCGACCCCUAAGGCGAGGCCGAAAGGCGUAGUCGAUGGGAAACAGGUUAAUAUUCCUGUACUUGGUGUUACUGCGAAGGGGGGACGGAGAAGGCUAUGUUGGCCGGGCGACGGUUGUCCCGGUUUAAGCGUGUAGGCUGGUUUUCCAGGCAAAUCCGGAAAAUCAAGGCUGAGGCGUGAUGACGAGGCACUACGGUGCUGAAGCGACAAAUGCCCUGCUUCCAGGAAAAGCCUCUAAGCAUCAGGUAACAUCAAAUCGUACCCCAAACCGACACAGGUGGUCAGGUAGAGAAUACCAAGGCGCUUGAGAGAACUCGGGUGAAGGAACUAGGCAAAAUGGUGCCGUAACUUCGGGAGAAGGCACGCUGAUAUGUAGGUGAAGCGACUUGCUCGUGGAGCUGAAAUCAGUCGAAGAUACCAGCUGGCUGCAACUGUUUAUUAAAAACACAGCACUGUGCAAACACGAAAGUGGACGUAUACGGUGUGACGCCUGCCCGGUGCCGGAAGGUUAAUUGAUGGGGUUAGCGGUAACGCGAAGCUCUUGAUCGAAGCCCCGGUAAACGGCGGCCGUAACUAUAACGGUCCUAAGGUAGCGAAAUUCCUUGUCGGGUAAGUUCCGACCUGCACGAAUGGCGUAAUGAUGGCCAGGCUGUCUCCACCCGAGACUCAGUGAAAUUGAACUCGCUGUGAAGAUGCAGUGUACCCGCGGCAAGACGGAAAGACCCCGUGAACCUUUACUAUAGCUUGACACUGAACAUUGAGCCUUGAUGUGUAGGAUAGGUGGGAGGCUUUGAAGUGUGGACGCCAGUCUGCAUGGAGCCGACCUUGAAAUACCACCCUUUAAUGUUUGAUGUUCUAACGUGGGCCCCUUACCGGGGUUGCGGACAGUGUCUGGUGGGUAGUUUGACUGGGGCGGUCUCCUCCUAAAGAGUAACGGAGGAGCACGAAGGUUGGCUAAUCCUGGUCGGACAUCAGGAGGUUAGUGCAAUGGCAUAAGCCAGCUUGACUGCGAGCGUGACGGCGCGAGCAGGUGCGAAAGCAGGUCAUAGUGAUCCGGUGGUUCUGAAUGGAAGGGCCAUCGCUCAACGGAUAAAAGGUACUCCGGGGAUAACAGGCUGAUACCGCCCAAGAGUUCAUAUCGACGGCGGUGUUUGGCACCUCGAUGUCGGCUCAUCACAUCCUGGGGCUGAAGUAGGUCCCAAGGGUAUGGCUGUUCGCCAUUUAAAGUGGUACGCGAGCUGGGUUUAGAACGUCGUGAGACAGUUCGGUCCCUAUCUGCCGUGGGCGCUGGAGAACUGAGGGGGGCUGCUCCUAGUACGAGAGGACCGGAGUGGACGCAUCACUGGUGUUCGGGUUGUCAUGCCAAUGGCACUGCCCGGUAGCUAAAUGCGGAAGAGAUA